UCCCUGGUGGUCUAGUGGCUAAGCAUCCCACGCUCUCACCGGCAUGGCCUGGGUUCGAUUUCCAGGCAGGGAA